AACAUGGCAGUGUUAUACCAUGUUAUUUAAUAUAUUCAAUACUAUAUAUUCAGUAUACUGUUAUAAUUAUAAGAGGAAGACCUUAGGCAACCUUCCUCGCAUGAAUAAGCAAAUAUUUAGAGAGAUUAAAGAACCACGGGAAACGCCUAGUACCACAACCCACGCAAACAGGACAUAGUUUUGUGGUUGAUAAACACUGCUAGAACUUGCUUUGACAAACAUAUUGCGUAGAGGAAAUUAGUCAUAGUUACAGAUUUCUUCCUCUAAAAUUUAUUAUAAAAGCUGAGCACAACCUGAGAGUCGAGAGCGGAGAGUGAAGUGAGAAGAGCCAUUUAGGCUAAAAUACUUCAUAAGCCCACAAAGGCUGAAGUAUAUAAUUAAAAGGCUAGAUAAUUAAGCCUCGUCAAGUAAACUGAAGAACAUUGGAAUAUUGUGGAAUAAUUAUUAUUAAAGAAGACGGAAUACAAAGUAUAAAGAAUAAAGAUUCAAAGUUGUGCUAAGCUCAAACAAAUAGAGAGAUAAGUUGAUAUAUUAAGAUUACUAUAUUAUUAUAACAUUAUAGAGACGCUAAUUCAUAUUGUUGAAAGUAAAUAAAAUAUAUAAAAGGUAUAAGGUUUCAUGCUAUUUGUGUUACGGUAGCGUUAAUAUAAUUUGAACCCGAAGCCUAAAGGUUGAAAAUAUACCUAAUUGGAAAAUAUAUUUGACGCAUAAAUAACGCACCAUAACAAAUCGUUAAUCGUACGAGCAACAUCACCUGAUUUUUUGUUUAUUAUUUGCAUGGCAAAAUUACGAAUUAAUGAAUAAUGGCAGCCUCUGGUGACUGAAUUUUUUUAUCUGCCCUCGUCAUUUAUAAUGUGAAAGAAUGUAUCAAAGACGUUAAGAACACAUGGAUAUAAGUAGAAUACAUUAAUAUUGCAGAUUUCAAAUUGUUAUAGGAACAUAUGCGUCUUCUAAUUAUUAUGAUACAUUACAGUUUUAAAAUAAUAAGUUCGUUUACUGUCUAAUGCUUUAUAGCAUAAUCGUUUUGUUUUAAUGGGUGAAUCCUACGUAAGAAAUCGUAAGUGACUAUUGUUUUAAGAAAUUUUACAAUCUGUCUACAGGUUAGCCAGUCCGUCGUCGAUUCUCUAAGGAAUAAUUCCUCGGAUGCUCUUGUUCUCGCCUGGCGUGAUCACCAAACAUCAAUGUUCUGCAUCCGAGAUAUUUUUAUGUACAUGG